AUUGAACGCUGGCGGCAUGCUUUACACAUGCAAGUCGAACGGUAACAGGCCUUCGGGUGCUGACGAGUGGCGCACGGGUGAGUAAUGCAUCGGAACGUACCCAGAGGUGGGGGAUAACGCAGCGAAAGCUGUGCUAAUACCGCACGUGCUCUGUGGAUGAGAGCGGGGGGCCGCGCAGAAAUGUUUGGCCUCGCGCCUUUCGAGCGCCCGAUGUCGGAUUGGCUAGUUGGUGGGGUAAAGGCCUACCAAGGCGACGAUCCGUAGCUGGUCUGAGAGGAUGACCAGCCACACUGGAACUGAGACACGGCCCAGACUCCUACGGGAGGCAGCAGUGGGGAAUUUUGGACAAUGGGCGCAAGCCUGAUCCAGCAAUGCCGCGUGCGGGAAGAAGGCCUUCGGGUUGUAAACCGCUUUUGGCAGGAACGAAACGGUGUCCGCUAAUACCGGGCGCUAAUGACGUUACCUGCAGAAUAAGCACCGGCUAACUACGUG
rnacentral:rRNA from 1 species